UGGGCGCGAUUCUAUCCUUGUCUGUCGUCCACUCUGUGCAAGGCAUUGCUACUUCAAAUGGAGUCUUUUUUCCCUUGUUAUAUGGCAUCUUCAUUGUUCGGGGAUGAUCUUUUAAUUCCAAAGGCACAUAGCCCCAGAAAUUAGAGGAAGCAAGAAAAUGGAGAGGAGUGUUACCAUCAUUGUCUGGAUCCUCGCUAAG
rnacentral:lncRNA from 1 species